ACUAAGCCACAAAUGAUACAGUAAAUGUUAAAAUACUCCGUCAUAGUUCCGAAAUCAGAAAAGAAUAACGAGCGACACAUCUGUGAAAACCCUAACCGGAAUCUCGAAGUCCUCGACCACCAUUGACGACCGUGCUUGCUUCUUGAUCAUUUUUUAAUACGAAUCAGACACUUUUGAAUACAAUGAAGCGAUCCUUUGAAGAAGUUGCUAAUAAUGUGAAGCCUGUGUUCUUGACUAAAGCACAGAGAGAGCAGUUGGCUCUGCAAAGGAGACAAGAAGAAGUUGCUGAACAGAGACGUCGUGCUGAACUUCUUAAAGGCCAUUCUUCUGACAAAGAAUCCUUAGAUUCUUCUCAUCACCGCUCCUCUCGUGAUGGUGAUCGUGAUCGUUAUCGUGACCGUGACCGUGAUCGAGAGAGGGAGCGUGAACGAGAAAGAGAGCGUGAUCGUGAGAGAGAGCGUGAUCGUGACAUUGAGAGGCGGAAUCGUGAGAAGGAACGUGAAGAGGAGAGCAAAGCUAGGGAUCGGGCAAGGCUAGAGAAGUUGACGGAGAGAGAGAGGGAAAAGGAACUAGAGCUUAUUAAAGAGCAGUAUUUAGGUUCAAAGAAGCCAAAGAAGCGAGUGAUAAAGCCUAGUGAGAAGUUCCGCUUCUCCUUUGAUUGGGAGAACACUGAAGACACCUCUCGUGAUAUGAAUGCCCUGUAUCAGAAUCCUCAUGAGGCUCAGCUGUUGUUUGGUAGAGGAUUUCGAGCGGGAAUAGACCGUAGGGAGCAGAAGAAGCUGGCUGCUAAAAAUGAAGUCGAGUUACGUGAGGAAAUUCGCCGAAAAGAUGGCACUGAAGAGAAUCCAGAGGAAGCUGCUGCACUACGACGCCGGGAGCAAGCUGCUGAAAAGUACGAAAGCCAUGAUAUGAGGGUUGAUCGCCACUGGUCUGAAAAGAGGCUUGAAGAAAUGACAGACAGGGACUGGAGAAUUUUCAGGGAGGACUUUAAUAUAUCUUAUAAAGGUUCAAGGAUACCUAGGCCAAUGAGGAAUUGGGUGGAGAGUAAAUUGAGUUCAGAGCUGCUGAAAGCUGUGGAGCGAGCUGGCUACAAGACUCCUUCUCCUAUUCAGAUGGCAGCUAUUCCGUUGGGACUUCAGCAACGAGACGUCAUUGGCAUUGCGGAGACUGGUUCGGGUAAGACGGCUGCUUUUGUUCUUCCUAUGUUGGCUUACAUUACUAGGCUGCCACCGAUUACUGAGGAGAAUGAGGCUGAGGGUCCUUAUGCUGUUGUUAUGGCUCCUACCCGUGAACUCGCACAACAGAUUGAAGAAGAAACCGUUAAGUUUGCACACUAUCUGGGCAUCAAGGUUGUCUCCAUUGUUGGUGGGCAAUCCAUCGAGGAGCAAGGAUUUAAAAUCAGACAGGGCUGUGAGAUUGUUAUUGCAACUCCUGGACGUCUCUUGGAUUGUCUGGAAAGGCGUUAUGUUGUUCUAAAUCAAUGCAAUUAUGUUGUUCUUGAUGAGGCUGAUCGGAUGAUAGAUAUGGGUUUUGAGCCACAGGUUGUUGGUGUCUUGGAGGCAAUGCCUUCUAGUAAUAUGAAGCCUGAGAAUGAAGAAGAGGAGCUUGAUGAGAGAAAGAUUUACCGGACCACCUAUAUGUUUAGCGCAACUAUGCCACCUGCUGUUGAGCGGCUAGCCAGGAAGUUCUUAAGGAAUCCUGUAGUGGUAACUAUUGGCACAGCUGGGAAAGCCACUGACCUCAUUACACAACAUGUCAUCAUGAUGAAGGACUCAGAAAAAACUUUCAGGUUACAGAAAUUGCUCGAUGAUUUAGGUGAUAAGACAGCUAUAGUGUUUGUUAACACCAAGAAGACUGCUGAUGUGCUUGCGAAAAAUUUGGACAAGGCAGGCUAUCGAGUCACUACUUUGCAUGGUGGAAAAUCACAGGAACAAAGAGAAAUUAGCCUUGAAGGUUUCAGGACCAAGAGGUACAAUGUCAUGGUUGCAACUGAUGUUGCAGGGCGUGGUAUAGAUAUACCUGAUGUUGCACAUGUGAUAAACUAUGAUAUGCCUGGUAAUAUUGAGAUGUAUACACAUCGCAUUGGUCGUACUGGUAGAGCCGGGAAGACUGGUGUGGCGACUACCUUUUUGACCUUGCAUGACACUGAUGUCUUCUUUGAUCUAAAGCAAAUGCUUGUUCAGAGUAAUAGUCCUGUUCCACCUGAACUUGCAAGACAUGAAGCCUCUAAAUUUAAGCCUGGGACAGUUCCUGAUAGACCUCCUAGACGCAAUGAAACUCUUUUUGCUCAUUGAUGAUUUUGCUUUUCUGAGACGGUGUAUUGAUAAAGUUUCUCCAGAUUUUGAUUUCUAGCUUUCUGCAAAGGAGCCUCAUGCACAAGAGGUGCGACCCAGUAACAAUUGCAAAUCAUAAAAGCACAGCAAACGAGGAGCGAAGACUUUUUGAUAGCAAAAGAGGAGGAGAGACAUACGGAGGAACAAGAAUUGGAGCAAAUAGAUUCACAAUUUGUAUAAUGACACAACUUUUGGCGGUGCAGGUUGUACACUUUUGUUAUGAAUUUGUAUUAUGGAACAUCAAGCAGGUUGUUAAGGCCAAUGCACAAGCCACAAAUCAUAUGUAUAUUGCGGAAAUUCUUUACGAUUUACCAUUGUUCACUUAGUGAUAUGUUAAGUUGUAAAAUGAAAAUUUGGCUAAUUGAGUGUUAAGUAGAGUAACAUGUUUGAAGUUUGAACAAUUGAGUUCUAUGGAGUUGGCACAAAACCUCUCCCUGUCUAAGACAUCAGGGAAGAACCAGUAGGAAAUGUCAUCAAGGCGAACAAAUAUUUGCUGCUUAUUUUAUUAUUUGCAAGUCAUGCCAUCUUCAUGGAUUACGAAGAUUAUGCUAUGUCCCACAAAAUAUGGCAACAACAAACAACUCAAAUCACCUACCAUUGAAGGUGGAGAAGGAAUGGAUUUGAAAUCAUAGUGUACACUUGUAUUAUAGAGAAUUCCAAGGAAAAUAGGUUUGAUGUGUCAAUUUUUUUCAUCUUGAUUUGAUGAAACAUCAGUCAAUUUUUGCUUUAUUGACUUCUAUGGUAUGGAUCAUGGAUGUAUUCCCAAAACUAAAGAGGGUAGCAUGUUGAUGCUUGAAAGCAUAGUUAACAAUGUCCUAAGUUUUGGUGGCAUAAAAUGAUUAGUUAAUUGUAAGACUACUACUCAAGUUUUCUAAA